rnacentral:rRNA from 1 species
GGAUUAGAUACCCUGGUAGUCCACGCUGUAAACGAUGUCGACUAGCUGUUGGACUCCAUCGAGAGUUUUGUGGCGAAGCUAACGCGAUAAGUCGACCGCCUGGGGAGUACGGCCGCAAGGUUAAAACUCAAAUGAAUUGACGGGGGCCCGCACAAGCGGUGGAGCAUGUGGUUUAAUUCGAAGCAACGCGAAGAACCUUACCACCCCUUGACAUCCUCGGAACUUAGCAGAGAUGCUUUGGUGCCUUCGGGAACCGAGUGACAGGUGCUGCAUGGCUGUCGUCAGCUCGUGCUG